UUUCGUGAAUGGGUUGAAUCACCUGAUCCAACCAUUUUAGGAAAGACUGAUGCAAAAA
rnacentral:sRNA from 1 species